GACCAAAUCUCUUAGAUAGAAGACCUUCAUUUUGACCCUUGAGUUGUAAUAUCAGACUACUCUUUGUCGGUAUGCGGCCAUCCAAAUUUGAGCUUGUUGUCUAAUCUUCGAGAGUAAAUCCAAGUCAGCUCUUCAACAUUCAGAGUUACUUGGCUCUACAUACUAUUCGACUCUCAUUGAUGGCAAUCCAAUCUCCACUAGGAUCACUACUUCUAUUCCAUAAGCCAAGUUGAACGACGAUUCUUCCAUUGGGAUGCAAAGAGUCGUCUAAUAUGCCCAUA
rnacentral:lncRNA from 1 species